ACCAACACCUCCAUACUAACACCUCCACACUUACACCACCACAGUAACACCUCCACACUAACACCUCCACCCUUACACCACCACAGUAACACCACCAUACCAACACCCCCAUACUAACACCUCCACACUUACACCACCACAGUAACACCUCCACACUACCACCUCCACACUUACACCACCGCAGUAACACCUCCAUACUACCACCUCCACACUUACACCACCGUAGUAAUACCUCCACGAGUUACAGUAAUAUUGAUUCCAUUUCAGUUCCAGGAGGUAAAACUGUAAGAUGCAUGAAACCUAAACAUUCAGCUAAAAAUCCUCUAGCUAUUGAUUUAUUUGGUUUAUAUUCAUGAUCAAUAAUGAUUAAUCAGUUUGUUACUGAUGUUUACCAUGUCACUAAAUCUUUCUACUGAGGGCAUACACAGGGGAAUCAGAUCACAUGCACACUGUUAUAUAAAGGUAUACAUAAACUGAAAAAACGAAUUAAAAUAAACAAAGGCAGGAGUAACUGCUGUGAAGACAAUAAACAGAGGGGAAAAAGUGGUGGAAAAAAGCAGUCUAUAAACAGGAAUAUGAAAUCUAUAACAAUGUUUUAAUAAUGUUUUAAAUAGAGGAAACACAGAGGAGACAAAACAUUAAGCAACCCGAUAACUUUUCUCCUCAGGAGCUCCGUUCUGUGGAAUUCUGCUUUUCAUUUAGCUGUGUGUGUGUGUGUCUGUGUGUGUGUGUGUGUGUGUGUGUGUGUGUUCUCACUUAUUAACACAGCACCCGGCACAUUCCAGUUGCUUUUACUGAAUCUCUUCAUGCAGUACCCGAAUUUUGCCUCCCUCAAGAAAGAAAAGAUUCUUCCCUUGCCAAGCGUCCCAUCAUUCUCCUGCAAGGUCCAGACUGACGAGGCUGCUGAGGCUACUGGAGACACACACACACACACACACACAUUUCAGCAGUUGUGUUGGUGCUGCAGGGAAACAAUUACCCAGGAGAGAGCCAGUGCCAGAGCAUUUUUUCCAGCCAUUAUCAGCAGGGAGGCUGUUAAAUUUGUUCAAUUCGACUUUGAGUGCUGCGAUCUGUUCUCACGCUUUCAGACAAGGAGCUUUUGUUUUUGUCUUUAAGGAGAAACGAGGAAGCAGAAAAUAUCUUGUUGGGACUUUGUAGGGGGCCAAAUAUCUAAAAAAAAAACAAAAGAAACAAGCUAGGUUCUCAUCUCAUUAGUCAUCCAACACCAUCUCACUGUCCACUGUGUUCCAGCGUCCUGUUACUGACUGACAGGAUACACCUGAGUCACUAUCAGGUGUGUGUGUGUGUGUGUCACAAUUACUGAAACUGAAAUCCUAGGAACACUGGGAUUGAGACGUGAAUACACUCUGGAUGAGACACACACACUCAUUCAUCAAUCUGGAUGAAUGUAAUUAGAGAGAAGAGGAGGAAAGCGGAGCUGGAAGACCGAUGUGACAUUUAAGGCGAGAGAGUUUGUCUCGUUCCUGUCUGAAGGACGUUUCUUUCCAGCUGUGUGUGAAAGAUGAAGACUUUGUCGUUCAGCUCUGCUGUGUGUUGCGUUUGUCCAUCCAUGAACAGCGUCUCUAACAAACCCAGAUGUGCUGGACAUGUGUGGUCCAUGGAGGCUCCACCUCACAGGACUUACAGGAUCUGCUGCUUGAGUCUUGAUGUCAGCACACCUUCAGAGAUCUUGUGGAUCUUGACUGAUGUGAACCAUGUGAACUCAUUGUCAUUGCAGCCUGGCCUCCAGCCCCACCCAGUGUAGUUCAACACAAAGCCCACUUCAUCACAAGAGGCCCUCCAGGAUCAUCGAGUACCACCAAUACAUCUGCUGGAUCAAUAAUGCACACAGCAUGUGCUGGUCUG